GAUAUUCAGGUUGUGCUCUCCCUGUAAAAGUAAUUCAUUUCAGACCUUUGUAAAAGUAAUUGUGCUCCCCCUGUUUUGUAUGCAUUCAUAAAUUGUGUCAAAUUUGAGCACUUAAGGUAUGUUAUGAGAUCUUUAAGGCACAUCAUAGAGUCACAUACACAGAGUCAAAAAUGUACACAAGGUUUCAAAAGAAAUUGUAUGUCAUUCAUAUAUCAUUGUAAACCUUUGAAAUCAUUACAAAGUUAAAAGAGGAGAUCAUUACAAGUAUUCAUCUCUAAUACAAAAAGUGUUUCAAAAUGAGCCUAGGGUUUACAAAAGAAGAACCCUAGAUGUCUACAAAAUGUCCCUCAUCGGCGACGUUGCUCAUAAGCCCUACAAGCUGCAUCUAUAAAUGCAUUGAUGGAAUCUAAUAAUGUUUUGAACUGCUCUCCCUGGGACUGAUGAAAGACUGCCACUAGUGCUUCAAAUUCAAUGCUUGCCCUUUCAAUUCUUCCUCGAAGUUGGGCAACCACAGUGCCCACAUUACCUC
rnacentral:lncRNA from 1 species